GGGUAAGCCAGAGCCAAUAGACAGAGGAUAUGCAAGCAUUCCUCUAGGCAGUGAAUGGAAGCAUGCUUGGCAUUUGCAACAUCAAGAAGGCCAGAGUGGAGGGGGUUGAUUCUGAGAAGGAAAAUAGGGCAGGAUAUAAAGUCAAACAGGUUAGCAGGAACGUCAGAGUCCAUGGAGCCUUGAUGGUCAUAGUCAUCUGAGAUAAAAAGUUGUUGCAGGCUUUGGGCAGAGAUGAUGUUCUGUUUUAUAAUUAACAGGAGCACUUGGCUACCAUGUGGACAGGAGAUGGUAGCAGGCAAGAAGUGGAGGCCAAGAAGCCAGUGUGGAGCCAGGGAACAUUUCAGGUGAAGAGGAUGACUCUAAUUCUCUGGGUUUCCAGCUCAAUAGUUCUUAGCCAAUAGAGACUUUACAGACAUCUCUUCUAUAAUUGCAAAAAUAAUGAUGAUGAUGAUGUUGAUGCUGUGGAGAGAAUAAAGCCACCAGCAGACAUAGAUGGAGCACAGAGGUUAAUAGAGAGCUGUGAUAUCAUGGAACCAAGGCCAGUAUUUCGCAAAACAUAACUGAAGCUUAUAUUCAUUAGAUAGAAAGCAUCACAAAACAACCAGAAGACUUCUAAAUGGAAGAUUCCAAAUACCACAGUCAAGAUUGUGAUACGGGAGCAUAUUUUAGAAGCCAAUACUGUCAGUUCCCACAUUUGGUCUAUCUGGCAACCAUGGAGAUGUCAAGUCCAGAGGAGUAUUGGAUCAUAGAUUCCUGGAGUGGGUAGAGCCUCUUAAGAUCCACUUUUUGUGGGAUUCCUGGGUGGCUCAGCAGUAGAGCAUCUGACUUCGGCCCAGGGUGUGAUCCUGGAGUCUUGGGAUGGAGUCCUGCAUCAGGCUCCCUGUGUGGAGCCUGCUUCUCCCUCUGCCUGUGUCUCUGCCUCUCUCUGUGUCUCUCAUGAAUAAAUAAAUAAAGUCUUAAAGAAAA
rnacentral:lncRNA from 12 species